rnacentral:tRNA from 1 species
UCCAGGGUAGCCUAGUGGACAUGGCAUCUGCCCGGUAAGCGGAAGGUCGUGAGUUCGGUUCCCGCCCCUGGAC